rnacentral:rRNA from 1 species
GCAUGUCUAAGUAUAAGCACUUUAUACUGUGAAACUGCGAAUGGCUCAUUAAAUCAGUUAUCGUUUAUUUGAUAGUACCUUACUACAUGGAUACCUGUGGUAAUUCUAGAGCUAAUACAUGCUAAAAACCUCGACUUCGGAAGGGGUGUAUUUAUUAGAUAAAAAACCAACGCCCUUCGGGGCUCCUUGGUGAAUCAUAAUAACUAAGCGAAUCGCAUGGCCUUGCGCCGGCGAUGGUUCAUUCAAAUUUCUGCCCUAUCAACUUUCGAUGGUAGGAUAGUGGCCUACCAUGGUGGCAACGGGUAACGGGGAAUUAGGGUUCGAUUCCGGAGAGGGAGCCUGAGAAACGGCUACCACAUCCAAGGAAGGCAGCAGGCGCGCAAAUUACCCAAUCCCGACACGGGGAGGUAGUGACAAUAAAUACUGAUACGGGGCUCUUUUGGGUCUCGUAAUUGGAAUGAGUACAAUCUAAAUCCCUUAACGAGGAACAAUUGGAGGGCAAGUCUGGUGCCAGCAGCCGCGGUAAUUCCAGCUCCAAUAGCGUAUAUUAAAGUUGUUGCAGUUAAAAAGCUCGUAGUUGAACCUUGGGUCUGGCUGGCCGGUCCGCCUCACCGCGAGUACUGGUCCGGCUGGACCUUUCCUUCUGGGGAACCUCAUGGCCUUCACUGGCUGUGGGGGGAACCAGGACUUUUACUGUGAAAAAAUUAGAGUGUUCAAAGCAGGCCUUUGCUCGAAUACAUUAGCAUGGAAUAAUAGAAUAGGACGUGCGGUUCUAUUUUGUUGGUUUCUAGGACCGCCGUAAUGAUUAAUAGGGAUAGUCGGGGGCGUCAGUAUUCAGCUGUCAGAGGUGAAAUUCUUGGAUUUGCUGAAGACUAACUACUGCGAAAGCAUUCGCCAAGGAUGUUUUCAUUAAUCAGGGAACGAAAGUUAGGGGAUCGAAGACGAUCAGAUACCGUCGUAGUCUUAACCAUAAACUAUGCCGACUAGGGAUCGGGCGGUGUUUCUAUAAUGACCCGCUCGGCACCUUACGAGAAAUCAAAGUUUUUNGNUNNUGGGGG